ACGGGGUGGGGAAGAAAGCGGAGGGUGGGCCUGAGGUUUCGGGGAGUGGGUGGGAGCAGCACUGACCCGCACAUACUCACCCCUCCUCCCGCCCUUUCUCAUUUCACCUGCUUUGACCAUCAGAAGGGAUUCCUGGCAGAAUGACCCGCCCUUACAACUCUCAACCUUCUCCGUGGUCCAGUUAAACAUACUGCUUGGGUCCUCUUCUAUACUGGUGAACACGCCCUUGUGACAAUAUAAGUUUUGCACCGCUGGGGAGAAAAGGAGAUCUGGGCCAAGGAGGGGGCUCCCAGGAGGAGGAGGAACAACAAACUCUGGGCACGACGGGUACUCAUGGCGUCCUUUAGACAGGGCUGGAAGCGCGGCUCAGGAUC